rnacentral:rRNA from 1 species
ACGAAGUAGCAAUACUUAGUGGCAGACGGGUGAGUAACAUGUAGGUAUCUGCCCUUUGGCCUGGAAUAACACGAGGAAACUUGUGCUAAUACCGGAUAAGUCUUUACGGAGAAAGCUUUAUGCACCAUUGGAUGAGCCUGCACUUGAUUAGUUUGUUGGUAGGGUAAUGGCCUACCAAGACUGUGAUCAAUAGCUGAUUUGAGAGGAUGAUCAGCCACAUUGGGACUGAGACACGGCCCAAACUCCUACGGGAGGCAGCAGUGGGGAAUCUUGCACAAUGGAGGAAACUCUGAUGCAGCGAUGCCGCGUGAGUGAAGAAGGCCCUUGGGUUGUAAAGCUCUUUCGUCGGGGAAGAAAAUGACUGUACCCGAAUAAGAAGGUCCG